rnacentral:rRNA from 1 species
AUUGAACGCUGGCAGCAGGCCUAACACAUGCAAGUCGAGCGAGCGGCGGACGGGUGAGUAAUGUAUGGGGACUGCCCGAUAGAGGGGUGUAACUACUGGAUACGGUAGCUAAUACCGCAUACAAUCCGAUAGCCCAUAUGGGCUUAGCUAUUAGGUGAGGUAAUGGCUCACCUAGGCGACGAUCCCUAGCUGGUCUGAGAGGAUGAUCAGCCACACUGGGACUGAGACACGGCCCAGACUCCUACGGAGGCAGCAGUGGGGAAUAUUGCACAAUGGGCGCAAGCCUGAUGCAGCCAUGCCGCGUGGAUGAAGAAGGCCCUAGGGUUGUAAAGUACUUUCAGUCGGGAGGCGUUACCGACAGAAGAAGCACCGGCUAACUCCGUGCCAGCAGCCGCGGUAAUUC